UCCCUGGUGGUCCAGUGGUUAAGUCUCUGUGCUUCCAACACAGAGGGCACAGGUUCUAUCCUUGGUCAGGGAA
rnacentral:tRNA from 1 species